CACGAAACCAGGCGAGCUACUGUGGGGCGUAUAGUAGUACAAAUUAUGUGGCAUAAUAGCAGUAGACCUCACAGUAGGGGUGACAGGCCCUCAAGUCUGGUGAUAUCUUGUAAACCCUGAAACGUAUUGAGUAUAUUCUUAAUUUACUAGUAAUGAGGCUGGUAAAACCUAUAUAAUUUGAUUACUAAUGGUAACAUAGUUUAACUGCUAGUUCCCCAAUAGACCAAAUAUCAAUAUCUUUUAUUAAUAGUCAAUAAGGGUUAAUAUAAAACAUUACGAAGUAUUUACACUGUGGGUAUUAGUAAUUAAGGUGUUCCUGAUGAACUCGGCAACACUCCCUUCACCUGUUUAUCAAAAACAUCGCCAGUAGAAGAUAUCACUGGUAAGUUCUGCUCCAUGUGUUAUAAAUAGCCGCAGUACCCUGACUGUGCAAAGGUAGCAUAAUCAUUUGGCUUAUAAUUGAAGUCUAGUAUGAAUGAAUACAUGGGGGGAGUCUCUAUUGGGGAUAAUAUAUAGAAAUUACUUAGUGGGUGCAAAUUCCCACCGAAAAAUAAUAGACGAGAAGACCCUUGAAAUUUUGAUGACGAGUAACCAAAAGUUUUUGUUGGGGCAACAUAGUAGCAUUUAACCUACAAUAAUAACAAGACACAGUAUAGUAAGAUCAAAUUACUCUAGGGAUAACAGCGUAAUUCUAUUUGAGUUUGCGACCUCGAUGUUGGACUAGGAAGCAGACGCUUAGAA
rnacentral:rRNA from 1 species